CCCACGGCGCUGAUGUAAUCUCCUCCUGCUUUGGCGCUAGCAGUGGGAGGUGUGUGGGCGGGACUGAUGACAAAGGACGGCUUGGGGAGCAGAGAGCUGCAGUGACUACUGUACUUGACUGCAGUACUGCCAGGAGCCACUAGAUGCCCCCAUAUCCAUGGAGCCAUCUCAUCACCUACCAGGACUGAGGAACAAUAGAGAGACUGCCCGGGAGGUUGUGUCUAUCAGAGGAACUAACACCAAAAAAGAAGGUAUGCUAAACCAAACCUACCAUCACUGAGGAUGUUGAAGCAGCAGGUCCAUAAAGGGCUGUGGCCCCACCUCCACCACUGUCUCAUCCUCUAUUUCAAAUUGCACCAAGUCCUCCAGUUUCUGAACCUUCAAGGGACACAUCCACUCCACCUUGUGCACAGCCACUAGACAGCUGAGGGGAAUGUGGACCCUGUGAUUGAGUACUCUCCAAAAUGUGUUCUGGUGGCUGAGGCAACACAGUAGAAAUACGACGUGGGGGUGUGCUUAAUGCUGGUGUUGGUGCGUCGUCAGGAUGACGUCUCUUGCUAGGCCUGCUCGUGUGGCUGCCAGACCCCUGUGAAGGACGUCUUUGUGGACUGUGAUGCGAUGUUGAAGUUCCUAUGGAUUAUUGCAAACAUUAAACAUUAGACUUAUUUUUUUUUUGUGGUGGACACAUUAACAGGUGUCGUUUUUGCGUUACCUGUAUCGCCAGCAUCCACAGCUCUUGACAGUGUUGCUUGUGUUCUGGAAGUGGAGGCUUGCUUUCGUACUGUAAAAAUGAUACAUUGGUGUUUAUGACCUUUCAUUACAGUGUGUACUUUUGUAAGCAGCAACAUUUAGUGAUGUGGACAUAUGUUUAACAUUAUGGGUACAGUUUCUAACAAUAAAUGUUGAAACAAUG